rnacentral:rRNA from 1 species
AUUGAACGCUGGCGGCAUGCCUUACACAUGCAAGUCGAACGGCAGCACGGGAGCAAUCCUGGUGGCGAGUGGCGAACGGGUGAGUAAUAUAUCGGAACGUGCCCGGUCGUGGGGAUAACGUAGCGAAAGCUACGCUAAUACCGCAUACGAUCUACGGAUGAAAGCGGGGGAUCGCAAGACCUCGCGCGAUUGGAGCGGCCGAUAUCAGAUUAGGUAGUUGGUGAGGUAAAGGGCUCACCAAGCCGGCGAUCUGUAGCUGGUCUGAGAGGACGACCAGCCACACUGGGACUGAGACACGGCCCAGACUCCUACGGGAGGCAGCAGUGGGGAAUUUUGGACAAUGGGCGCAAGCCUGAUCCAGCAAUGCCGCGUGCAGGAUGAAGGCCUCGGUUGGUAACGUAGCUUUUGUUACGGUAACGAAA